CCGAAGUGCAAGAUUGGAGACGAACUCAGACGGUUCCGGGGCUUCUCCCGUUUUU
rnacentral:tRNA from 1 species